rnacentral:misc_RNA from 1 species
GCGGAGUUGACGUUGGAUGCCGUGAGGGAUACCCUCAUCCGGAUGGAGGACACCAUCGUCUUCGUGCUCAUUGAGAGGGCCAAGCACCCCUACAACGCCCCGGCCUACGACGCUUCCUACUGUGGCGGUGACCGGUGCCUCGUCGAUCUCUUCAUCCGCGAUGCCGAGGCUCUCCAGUGUAAGGUAGGACGGUAUCAGAAUCCAGAGGAGGUCCCGUUCUUCCCUGAUGAUUUACCUGCUCCCCAAGUCCCUGCUUUCAACUACCCUCAGGUGUUGCAUCCAAAAGCUGCUUCUGCUAAUGCGAGCGAAGCCAUAUGGGAUAUGUAUUUCAAUGAUCUGCUUCCCCUCAUCACUUCGAAGGGUGAUGAUGGUUGCUAUGCAUCCACAGCAGCAUUAGAUCUCGUGUGCUUGCAGGCUCUAUCUAAGAGGAUCCAUUACGGGAAGUUUGUAGCAGAAGUGAAGUUCAGAGAUGCCCCAGAGGAUUAUAGCACUGCAAUUCGGUCUCAGGACAAGGAUGCUCUGAUGAAAAUGCUUACAUUUGUUAAAGUUGAGGAGAUGGUUAAGAAAAGGGUGGAGAAGAAGGCUAUGGUGUUCGGCCAGAAUGUGAUCCUCUGUGCUAAGCCUGACACAGAACACGGUGAGGCCCAAUAUAAGGUCGAUCCUUCUGUUGUUAAUCGGCUCUAUGCAGAUUGGGUUAUGCCUCUGACGAAGAUUGUGGAAGUUGAGUAUCUU